UAAAUCGGAAUAUGGUAAAAAGUUGACACCUCUGCAGCAUCUGUUACACCGUGUGAAGCGUGUGCCAUGGUUAUGAGAGUCCCUGCCUUCCGCAGGCCGCCACGACCCAUGUUCCGAGGCAUGUUUCCCCCUCCCCCGUACGGGGGCUUUCCCCCCGGGCCACCACACCCCAGGUUUGCCGGACCCCCUGUGGUUCCUCCCCAUCCUCCGGCGGUGUUCUCCCCCAUGGUGCGGGCCCCCAUGGGGGUCUUUGGACCUCCUCCCCCGCCUCCUGGCCACUUCCUGAGGGCCCGGGGGGGCCCGGGAGGGGCCAUGCGUCCCAGGCCCAGCUUCCGGCCCCCCAAGUUUAGCCCCUACCCAAGCCCGAGCAAGCCCAAGGUCGAGACGCCCAGUGGGGACGCAACCAGAUAUCAUCCCUUCGGGACCCCAUGACGCGUGUGCCCGCGGCAUACUACACGGACACUUGUGUCGUAUGGGAGAUUGGGAGUGUUAAACGAAAGUCGCUUAGAUCUGCGACGUUGAGAAAAGUGGCCGGCCCAAGUCCGAAAUCGCCAAAGAAUUCGACAUUCCGGCAUCAACUGUUCGACACUGCCCACCAUUUUGCAGAACAAGCAAGGCAUAUUAGAUGGGUUCGAGAAGUUUCUCGUGCAGGAGAAAGCGCACCCGUGACCCGAAGAUAAAAGAUCGCCAACUG